GUCUUAAUUCUCCAUAAUUGUUAAUCGCAUUGGAUCCAGAUUCCAUAUCGACAAAUCCAUUUCCUUCAUCUCAAAUCUAUAAAUAUGAUGGGUUGAGAGUGCGAUGGAUGUUCAUCAACUCUGUUAGUUUAUCAAUUUUUAAAAGCGUAGAAAGAUUCUCAAAAAUUUCUUCCUCCGAUGCUGUUGUUUCGCACUCCACUUUUGACGCUCUCCGCCUCCGAAAAUCUGGCCAGUUUAUUGUUGCUUGUCUUCUCCGUUGGAUCUCGAGGACCUACGAAUGUUGGUUGACAUGUUACUCUCUCGGGUAAUGUGGGAUUAGUUUGCUUGCUCUUCCUCCUCUUCGGGAAAGGAUCCCAUCGUCAUUUAGACAAAAGGUCUGGCUUUCUAUUCCCGAUCCCGCCAAGAAAAAGUCCAUCUUCCUAGAGAGUUAUUACAGUGAUUUGAGCAAGACCACAAGCAACACGGCAGAUGGAUCAUAAACAGCAUACUGGCGUUGAAGGUCCAAACCUUCCUCUGUGCCUUGAAGACUCCAUUGUUAGUUAACCUUUGAAUCAAAAUAAGUGCAGCGGCUACAAUGCACAUGCCUCGAGAAGGCUCAAACUACAAUGACACCUCUAUGCAACAGAGUCUGCUAUUUUCUUAAGGAUCUGAAGAAUCUGAGAACACGGCUGUAUUCAGCAGUUAAGUACUUCGAACUAUCCUACACAAACGAUGGAGACACACAAUCGUCAGUGAAACUUUAUUCUUCUUAAUUGUUAUUAGACUUUUUUAUUUAUUUGCAAAGCUUAUACGUGUGUAUGCAGAGUCGUGGGUACACAAAAAGAUUAUGCGAUAAAGGCUCUGGUAAAUACAGCUGACCAUUUGGGCUCUGUUACAUACGAAGCCAAUGAAUAUGUCGAUGAAAAGGUUGAUCAAGUAGCUGGAACCGAGCUACGAGUAGCUUGCAUCGAUCAGGUAUAUAUAUAUCAACAAACUGGCCUUUUUCUAAUCCUCCUGCUUCUAGCUGGUAAUCAAUAUGUAUUCCACAUGACCGAGAGGGUGAAAAGGCUCUUGGGGGGAUCUCUAAGCAGAACAAGCACCAUCAUCUGCUAGCGUGAUUGGGGAUUCUCCCAGCAACGCCAAGGAAGUUGAUGAAGCGAAUCAGCCAAGCUUGGUUGAGAAAGACAAGAGUCGCAAGCGCCUCCUUUAGUGAUUGGUAAAAGUCCAGCAAACCGUCAACCCCACUUAGCUUUCCUGCGUUUUCACUUUUCUAAAUUGCUAUGUUUUUCAAUUUCUGAGUUUUGUUAUUGUUUUCAAAUUUCUGCAAACUAUCACCUACUUGGUUAGUAUUUACUUUUUGAUUAAAUUAUGGGGAAGGUU